rnacentral:rRNA from 1 species
AACGAACGCUGGCGGCGUGGUUUAGGCAUGCAAGUCGAACGAUCCCGAUAAAGCCGUAAGGCGAUAUCGGGAUAGUGGCGCAAGGGUGAGUAAUACGUGGGUAAUCUGUCUUUGAGAUCGGGAUAACAUUUCGAAAGAGAUGCUAAUACCGGAUAAGACCAUAGAGGCUUUGGCCUCAGCGGUAAAAGAUGGCCUCUCAUUAUGAAGCUAUCGCUCAAAGAGGAGUCCGCGCUCUAUUAGCUAGUUGGUAGGGUAAUGGCCUACCAAGGCGAUGAUGGAUAGCUGGUCUGAGAGGAUGGUCAGCCACACUGGGACUGAGACACUGCCCAGACUCCUACGGGAGGCUGCAGUCGAGAAUUUUUCGCAAUGGGGGAAACCCUGACGAAGCGACGCCGCGUGAGUGAUGAAGGCCUUCGGGUUGUAAGGCUCUGUCACUUGGGAUGAGGAUUCUUGACACCAAUAAUGUCAAGGGUUGACAGUACCAAGAGAGGAAGCCCCGGCUAACUCCGUGCCAGCAGCCGCGGUAAUACGGAGGGGGCGAGCGUUGUUCGGAUUCAUUGGGUGUAGAGGGUGUGUAGGCGGUCUUGCAAGUCAGGUGUGAAAUCCCUUGGCUCAACCAAGGAAGUGCACUUGAAACUACAUGACUUGAGUAUAAGAGAGGAGAGUGGAAUUCCCGGUGUAGAGGUGAAAUUCGUAGAUAUCGGGAGGAACACCAGUGGCGAAAGCGACUCUCUGGCUUAAUACUGACGCUGAAACACGAAAGCUAGGGGAGCGAACGGGAUUAGAUACCCCGGUAGUCCUAGCCGUAAACGAUGGGCACUAGGUGUAGGAGGUUUAAACUUUCUGUGCCGUAGCUAACGCAUUAAGUGCCCCACCUGGGGAGUACGGUCGCAAGACUGAAACUCAAAGGAAUUGACGGGGACCCGCACAAACGGUGGAGCAUGUGGUUUAAUUCGACGAUACGCGAGGAACCUUACCAGGGUUUGACAUGUAUCUGAAAGCCUCAAGAAACUGGGGCCCUCCCUUUGGGACAGAUACACAGGUGUUGCAUGGCUGUCGUCAGCUCGUGUCGUGAGAUGUUGGGUUAAGUCCCACAACGAGCGCAACCCUUAUCCUUAGUUGCCAGCAUAACCAGAUGGGCACUCUAAGGAGACUGCCGCAGAUAAUGCGGAGGAAGGUGAGGAUGACGUCAAGUCAGUAUGGCCCUUAUGCCCUGGGCGACACACGUGCUACAAUGGCCGGUACAAAGGGUUGCCAAACCGCGAGGUGGAGCCAAUCCCAGAAAGCCGGUCCCAGUUCGGAUUGAAGGCUGCAAUUCGCCUUCAUGAAGCUGGAAUCGUUAGUAAUCCCGUAUCAGCUAUGAUGGGGUGAAUACGUUCCCGGGUCUUGUACACACCGCCCGUCAAGUCAACUGAGUCGAAUGCACCCGAAGUCACCGACUUAACCCGUAAGGGAGGAAAGUGUCGAAGGUGUGUUCGGUAAGGGGGACU